GACGAACGCAGGCGGCGUGCCUAAUACAUGCAAGUCGAGCGAGACUCUUCGGAGUCUAGCGGCGGACGGGUGAGUAACACGUGGGCAACCUGCCUGUAAGACUGGGAUAACACCGGGAAACCGGUGCUAAUACCGGAUAAUCCUUUUUCUCUCAUGAGGAAAAGCUGAAAGUCGGUUUCGGCUGACACUUACAGAUGGGCCCGCGGCGCAUUAGCUAGUUGGUGAGGUAACGGCUCACCAAGGCGACGAUGCGUAGCCGACCUGAGAGGGUGAUCGGCCACACUGGGCCUGAGACCCGGCCCAGACUCCUACGGGAGGCAGCAGUAGGGAAUCUUCCACAAUGGACGAAAGUCUGAUGGAGCAACGCCGCGUGAGCGAUGAAGGCCUUCGGGUCGUAAAGCUCUGUUGUUAGGGAAGAACAAGUACCGGAGUAACUGCCGGUACCUUGACGGUACCUAACCAGAAAGCCACGGCUAACUACGUGCCAGCCGCCGCCGUAA
rnacentral:rRNA from 1 species